rnacentral:misc_RNA from 1 species
GAUGAAGAACGUAGCGAAAUGCGAUAAGUAAUGUGAAUUGCAGAAUUCAGUGAAUCAUCGAAUCUUUGAACGCACAUUGCGCCCCCUGGUAUUCCGGGGGGCAUGCCAGUUCGAGCGUCAUUUCACCACUCAAGCCUCGCUUGGUAUUGGGCAACGCGGUCCGCCGCGUGCCUCAAAUCGACCGGCUGGGUCUUCUGUCCCCUAAGCGUUGUGGAAACUAUUCGCUAAAGGGUGUUCGGGAGGCUACCCCGUAAAACAACCCCAUUUCUAAGGUUGACCUCGGAUCAGGUAGGGAUACCCGCUGAACUUAAGCAUAUCAAUAAGCGGAGGA